rnacentral:rRNA from 1 species
GACGGAAGGUGCAAGCGUUGCUCGGAAUCACUGGGCGUAAAGGGUGCGUAGGCGGCUUCUUAAGUCUGGUGUGAAAGCCCAGGGCUCAGCUCUGGAAGUGCACUAGAAACUGGGAAGCUUGAGUACCGGAGGGGAGAGUGGAAUUCCUGGUGUAGCGGUGAAAUGCGUAGAUAUCAGGAGGAAUACCGGUGGCGAAGGCAGCUCGCUGGGCCGUAACUGACGCUGAGGAGCGAAAGCGUGGGGAGCGAACAGG